UCUCCGUAGGUGAACCUGCGGAGGGAUCAUUACUGAGUGAGGGAGCAAUCCCGACCUCCAACCCUUUGUGAACGCAUCAUGUUGCUUCGGGGGCGACCCUGCCGCUUCGGCGGUGCGGCGCCCCCGGAGGCCAUUAAACACUGCAUCAUUGCGUCGGAGUUAAAGUAAAUUAAACAAAACUUUCAACAACGGAUCUCUUGGUUCCAGCAUCGAUGAAGAACGCAGC
rnacentral:misc_RNA from 1 species